CCUAUUUUGUGUCAAAUUCUCUUUGUUCACGUGCGUAGCACAUGCGCUACAAUCACACAACUCGGGUAUGCAAUUGCUGGGCUUCGAGGUUUCGUUUCGGCCGCGAAGAGCGUACUUUCCCCAACGAAGAAACCCAGGUUCCAUUUUUUCGCAGUGAAUAGAAGCUUUAAGAAACUGGGUUUUUUCGUUUGGGUCAAAUCCAGAAUCCCUUUUAGCCGUUCUGGUUUCUGAUUCUGAUUCCCACAAGAAAUUGGUUUAAGAGACAAUGGGUUCUGAUGGGUCUUUUGCCUGAGAUUGGCCCUGAUGGCCUUAGCCCCUGUAAUUGCGUACACUGAUAAUCGAGGAAGGGAGGCUUGAAUUGAAAAAGAUAUAUUGAAGAAAACUUAUCUAAAAUUCGGGAUGUUGAACGAGAGUUUCCAAAUCUUACAAUGGAGAUGAUACUCACAUCAGGGCCAAAAAAAAAAAGCAGUAUCUGUAGCACGAGGAAGAAAAUAGAAAUGACAAGAGAGUGAAUACGUGCAGGCAGGUUGAAGGAAGAACAAGCAAAGAAGGUUUGAAUUCAAGUGGAGUAUCAACUUGUGUUGCUCAUGUAGGUCUUGUAUUACAAGGAUAGUGGCUACUCCUUCUGGUUAGCCAUUCACAUAACCCCUGUUGAGAUACGAUGUAGAAUGUAUGCCCUUUGGGUUAACACGGGAUGAGAAAACAACGAGGGUCAAGUUAUGAAAGUAAAAUUGAUUUCUCUGCAGCCAAUAAUAAUUGUAUCAGGUAUUUAAGUGUUCUUACCUGUUACUCAAUUUCACAUCUAGCAGAGAUGAAAUGUGUUUGGACUUACGAGCAGGCAUUUAUGGAGACUGGUUGGUGAAAAAUAGUAGAAAGGCAUUGAAUUCAUUAAUUUGAAUCUGGAAAAAGGCACCAUUUAUUCA